CUGCUCAUUUCGGUAGCACAUAUCCUAAAAUUGGAAAGAUACCGGGAAGAUUAGCCCGGCCCCUGUCCAAAGAGGACACGCAAAUUGGUGAAGCAGUCCAUACUCUU
ensembl:snRNA U6 U6 spliceosomal RNA